rnacentral:rRNA from 1 species
GUCUAUAGCCACACUACCCUGAACAUGCUUGAUUUUAUCUGAUCUUGGAAGCUAUGAAGGGUUGGACCUGGUUAGUACUUGGAUGAGAGAUAUAAACU